UAGCCCCCGAUCAUCAACAGCCCCUACAAUCUUCUUCAUUAGUAGUAGCCCCGACAAGCAAAUCCGAUCCCCAACACCCUGCAAACCCUGUCUUCCCCACGACAUCAACUCCUACAUCUUGCAAACCCCUGUCUUCUCCAACUGCAGCUCCGAAAUUCCAAACCCGUCUUUGUCCGUGAGCUUAACAACCUCUCCACCAUUUCUGACAACUGCAGUCCCCAACCGCCAUUGGUGAUAAAACCCAUCUCUAGCCACUGCCCCAAGUUCUAGAUCCACAGGCCGGACAAACGAUUUCGGCUGCAGGAGCAUCAAAUCCGACCACAGUUAUCGCUACCCCCUCAACCCCAAUGCCUAGAAGCCAUCCACCACCACCCUCUAUGACCACAAUAUUACAUGGUAGCAACAAAGCCCAAUGGAGAAGGAAUCUUCAAACUUACAGUGGGAGAGAUGUGCAACAGGUAAUAGAUUUAUUUUAAUUUGAAAUCUAGUUUCAAUUUUGAUUUAUAUGUGGAUUACAUUGGGUUUUUAGAUUUUCAAUAAUUGGGAUUUUGUAUACAAGGUUGGUCAUCUUGUGCACAAUGUGUGUCAGUCAUUUACUUUGUGCUUCCACAAAAAUUGGACACAUGCCAUGAUGGUUUGUGAUCUGAAUUUUUGGUGAGGAAAUUUGGUUGACAGUCAUGGUCUGCUACAACGGUUGAGGCCACAUGCACACACAUGUUGAAGGCGAUACUUUUGUCCUUCUGUAUUAUAUGCAUGCAACUGAUGCUUGAUGUGGAAAUCUGGCCCCUUUCAAGAUUAUAACUGAAUGCAAUUUGGGGUCCAUGUUGAUGUUUGGGUGGUGCUUUUACGAUGACUUUUACUGGUGGUCACAAAACCGUUGGAAGUAAGUUCACAAGAGUCUGCUUGUAUCUUUAAUUUCAGGUUCCAUUUUGUUAAUGUCUACUAGUUCCAUAAAAUGGUGUUUGAUCAUUGCACACAAUUGAUAGCUUAGACAUGGCAAUUUUUGGGUGGGUCAUUAGUUUACAUUUAUAUUUGAUAAAAA